AGAUCGGCACUCAACACGGUGAAAGGCAACCUCAGCAUACAUCAGCAGAUAGCCCUUACUCUUCAGAUUAUUUUACAAAUAUGAGGUUAUAAAUGGUAGUAAAGUGUAUGGCGACACAUUCUGGCGGUAUUGGAAUACUCCAACAGUUCUGAUUGCUAUAUCCCUCUUGGGUUUAUACAACCCCCGGAAGUACAGACAACAAAGCAGACAUAAUCUGGAAUAUCGAUAACCUCUAAAGCUCUGAGAGGACCCUAAAAUAAAAGCAACUCCUGGAGGCUGGGAUUAUCGAAGAUUUUCACGAAUUCCACGAAACUCACGCCAGCUGCUUCACACAUUGAAAAUGAUGAGAGGCUGGUGGAUUGAAGUGUAGUCAAACAGUAUUUUUCAACAAUGUGGACAGUAAUGCCCAAUGGACAACUAAGAAGUGCUCCUUCGUUACCCUCCUUCUCCAAACACUACAUGUCAAUAGUCCCAACAAAAAGUUACAAAACAAGCAGUCUUGACCUUCCUUUCCCACCGUGACAGGCAGAAUUAAUAGAGCUAUCAAGUAUUAGUAACUGCUAAAGAGGGAUUGUCGUUGAGAGAGGCACUUAAAGACCAAUCCAGAGCUUUCUGCCUUCAGAAUGUUCUUUUCGCAGCAUACCAAGUUUUACACCAGAUAGAAACAGAAUCCUUAGCAAACUGGGCCCAGCCCAAA